rnacentral:rRNA from 1 species
GAUGAACGCUGACAGAAUGCUUAACACAUGCAAGUCUACUUGAACUUCGGUUUGGGUGGCGGACGGGUGAGUAACGCGUAAAGAACUUACCUCACAGUUAGGGACAACAUUUGGAAACGAAUGCUAAUACCUGAUAUUAUGAUUUUAGGGCAUCCUAAGAUUAUGAAAGCUAUAUGCGCUGUGAGAGAGCUUUGCGUCCCAUUAGCUAGUUGGAGAGGUAACGGCUCACCAAGGCGAUGAUGGGUAGCCGGCCUGAGAGGGUGAACGGCCACAAGGGGACUGAGACACGGCCCUUACUCCUACGGGAGGCAACAGUGGGGAAUAUUGGACAAUGGACCAAAAGUCUGAUCCAGCAAUUCUGUGUGCACGAUGACGUUUUUCGGAAUGUAAAGUGCUUUCAGUUGGGAAGAAAAAAAUGACGGUACCAACAGAAGAAGUGACGGCUAAAUACGUG